GAGAAGUGUUUACUAUGCAAUGAAAAUAACUUUCCCCCAAUGCCAUCAUUUCCCUUUGGCACCCAGUGAAGUUGGGUAAGAAGGAGGGGCCAGGUACGUCACUUGACAGAUGCUCUGUUCGCAUUCAGCUCAUCUGGGUAGCCGUGUUGUCCUGUCUCCUGAAUUAUCCCCAGUGGCUGUCAGUGCCACAUGAACUCACUGUUCUUUGCCAAUCUUUCGGUUCCCUUGAAGGAGCAGAUGGACAGAAGCCUGCUCCCUACUGCAAGCUCUGACAUAACAGUGCGCCCCUCUUGGCUAUGCUUCUAAAUCUGGAGUUUUAGCAGCUAAACACCAGAGAUGCUGCUGGUGGAUAGUUUUGAAUUUUGGCUUCAUGUUUGGUUCAAAUGUCAUUUUUGAAAAGAAAAUAAUUCUUUGGUGUUGUUAUUUACAAUACCACUACUAUCAUUCCAACUCUACCAUUCCCUAUUAAUGAUCAGUCCCAAGCUGAUACUGUUACUUUAUUAACACCAAUGACACUGCCAAUAUUCAAGUUAUGUUCACUUAUUUCAUAUUCUUCUUUCCUUCCUUUCCUCUUCCUUUCUUUUUUUAAUUUUUACUUUUGUUUUUUAAACAGUCCACAGGAACAUCAUAACUGCAUUCUCCUGGGCAUUUUCCUGUGAUCACCGAGCCAGAGGGGAGUACAUCUCUAUGACAUCAAGACUUUUAGAGCGCCUCGCGGCCCCCUCCCAGCUACUCACACACGCCGCCCCCCCCCCCCCCCCGGGGCCGCGAGCUUCCAGGCAAGGGGGCCGCGCGCGAGCAUCCCCGGCAGGCGCGAGCAGAGAGGAGGGAGGCGGGGAGGCCGACACCCGCCCAGCCAACCACCUUCCGUGAGGCGCCCGGCAGCCCGUCUCUCUUUUUUUUUAAAGAACAGACUACCUGAAACUAUAAUUGCACUUAUAAAUUUCUUAAGGACAUACACUUCCAACUCUGUUUUCUCAUCAAGAAAAUGGAGAAACUCAUAGAAUUCCUUUCUUAUGGGGUUGCUGUGAGAAGAUAAACGACUCAGGGCUGAGGAGGGCUUUGCACACACAGGUGUUCAGUAAGCACUUGUGAUGAUUAUGAUCAACUUGCUAUGUAUUUGCUGUUAUGGAAACAUAGCAUUUGAGGUCAUUUAUUUUGUAAUUUCUAUAUUUUCAAAUAUGUUUAUAUUACUAAACUUAACAUACUCACUGCUGAAAAAAAAAGGAAAAUAAAGAAAAUACCAACUGCUCA
rnacentral:lncRNA from 1 species